rnacentral:snoRNA from 1 species
UCUAGUUCCCCUUCCCAUCAUAUCUGAACACUGGUCUUUAGUGGUCGUAAAAGUAAUACUGAAGCUGGUCUAGCAGUGUUGUAGUUUGGUAUAUAGCAUGUGGGAUAGUUUCAAACAAGG